AGUAUUUCCCUCCGGAGUGUAGCGCCUGUGAAAUGCUCCAAGAUGAUCUCGGAUGCAAAUUCAGCCAUGCAAGAGUGAUGAAAUGCUUGCAUUAUUUCCAAAGAUGAAUUAAGACAAUGAGGCAGCUCUUCAUUUGUCAAAUUUUCAAAGGAUUCUGUGAGGCCCCCAAAACUUGAGAACCUCUUGGAUUCAUCUCUCCACUCUGGUUUCUACCCCCAGAAUCUAUCAAGUGGCCUCACUCCUGGAUUACCUCCAGCACAAGAGAAAGUGCAUAUUCUGUCUGCUCUACUGGGCCAGGGGAGUAGGGAAAGAACAGGAGACAGUAAGGAUAAAAUGAAAGCAACAUAAAUGGGCAGCAUAAAAUAGAAAAAGCAGCUAUUGCAUCUCCCUCAUUUCAGAUUAUUUGUCAGAUAUGCCCUUCCCCACACAUGUGUGUAUGCAUGUUCCUUUACAUCACAGUUCUGUCCAUCUGCCCA
rnacentral:antisense_RNA from 1 species